GUGCACGGUGUCAACAAUCAUUGAAGCGUAGGGAUUACUUCGCGGGUUGCCAGAGGACCCCUGCCUUGAAUGCAGUCUCGGGAGCGACUCUCCAGCUCCUUCCAUCAAACAGUGGAGUCUUUUUGGCCUACCCCCUGGAUCUGGGCUGGCCUUCUGACUUGCUCUGACUUGGAGGAAGUAGCAGACGUGAUUCUGUGUGGUUUCCAAGCUGCCACUUAAAGAGGUCUCGGAGCUGCCACUCUCACUCUCCUGGGACUCCACAGCUUGAAGCAAGCCUGAGACAGCCUCUCUGAGAGAGAGACAGACAGAGAGAAAGAGAGAGAGAGCCUAUAACAUCAGAGGUCCAGCCAUCCCAAGAGACGUGAGGCCGACAAAGACCAGCUGGCCUCACAGCCAGCUCUACCAACCGACGCACUGCAAGGGCAUGAGAAAGCCCAGCGAUGCCACACGCAGCAGAGGUGCGCUGGCCCGUCUGAGCCCUGCCCAGAGCGCCAGCCCAUAGGGCUGUGGGAAAUAGUUCGUCUUGUCAGCCAUUCAAUUUGGGGGUGUCAUGGUAGACAGAAUUCUAAAUAUGGCCCCCCAAGACUCUCAGUCCCAUGUUGUUCAAUCAAAUAUUAAUACAGUUACUGCUGUGAAGGGAUUUUUCAAAUAUAAUUAAAGCUUCCAAGUCAGUUGCCCUUGUAA